GACCUGGCUGGGUGGUCCGCUUAACGGCGUGUACUGUUCGGCUGGGCCUUACCUCUUGGUGAGCCAGUGUGCCCUUUAUUGGUGUGCAUUGGGGAACCAGGACUUUUACCUUGAGAAAAUUAGAGUGCUCAAAGCAUGCAUUUCCGCUUGAAUAUAUUAGCAUGGAAUAAUAGAAUAGGA
rnacentral:rRNA from 1 species